rnacentral:rRNA from 1 species
GGGGGAAUCUUGCACAAUGGAGGAAACUCUGAUGCAGCGACGCCGCGUGGACGACGAAGCCCUUCGGGGUGUAAAGUCCUUUCGACCGGAACGAUAAUGACGGUACCGGUGGAAGAAGCUGCGGCUAACUACGUGCCAGCAGCCGCGGUAAUACGUAGGCAGCGAGCGUUGUUCGGAAUUAUUGGGCGUAAAGAGUAUGUAGGUGGUGUCGUAAGUUUGGUGUGAAAUCUCCUGGCUUAACUGGGAGGGUGCGCCGAAGACUGCGAUGCUGGAGUAUGGGAGAGGGAAUCGGAAUUCCUGGUGUAGCGGUGAAAUGCGUAGAUAUCAGGAGGAACACCUGUGGUGUAGACGGGUUCCUGGACCAUUACUGACACUGAGAUACGAAAGCGUGGGUAGCAAACAGGAUUAGAUACCCUGGUAGUCCACGCCCUAAACGAUGCACACUUGGUGUGAGCCAUUCAGUUGGUUUGUGCCGGAGCUAACGCGUUAAGUGUGCCGCCUGGGGAGUACGGUCGCAAGGCUG